UGGGGAAUAUUGGACAAUGGGGGCAACCCUGAUCCAGCAAUGCCGCGUGAGUGAGGAAGGCCUUAGAGUUGUAAAGCUCUUUCGGCGGGGACGAUGAUGACGGUACCCGCAGAAGAAGCCCCGGCUAACUUCGUGCCAGCAGCCGCGGUAAUACGAAGGGGGCGAGCGUUGUUCGGAUUUACUGGGCGUAAAGGGCGCGCAGGCGGCCGGCCAAGUCAGGCGUGAAAGCCCCGGGCUUAACCUGGGAAUUGCGUCUGGGACUGGUUGGCUAGAGAUCGGGAGAGGAGAGUGGAAUUCCCAGUGUAGAGGUGAAAUUCGUAGAUAUUGGGAAGAACACCGGUGGCGAAGGCGGCUCUCUGGACCGAUACUGACGCUGAGGCGCGAAAGCGUGGGGAGCAAACAGGAUUAGAUACCCUGGUAGUCCACGCUGUAAACGAUGUGUGCUAGACGUUGGGGAGCCUAGCUCUUCGGUGUCGCAGCUAACGCGGUAAGCACACCNCNUGAGGAGUACGGCCGCAAGGUUA
rnacentral:rRNA from 1 species